CAACCAUCAAGCCCCCAGGCUUGUGUUGGGGGCCUGCGGCUGCCGCAGCCCCCUAAAAGCAGUGGCGGACUCGCUGUCAUUCCGAGCGCAGUAGUUACAUCUCGCUCUGGGCGUGGCGGCGGGCGCCUGCCGUGAAACACUUCUAA
rnacentral:misc_RNA from 1 species